UGCCUGGAGUUACGGGAUUGUGAUGU
rnacentral:piRNA from 1 species